CUUGUCUCUAUUCACGACCUUGAGGCUGGAAAGGGAGGUGAACUAACACAUGACAACCAUUACAGUGGAGCGGUAGAUUUAACUGAAGAGACUGCCAAGGAGGCUAUGACACCUAUUGAAUCAAGAUUGUGCUUGGAUGUUGAUUCAAAUUUAGACUGGGAAGCAAUUGGGAAAAUUCUUGCACGUGUUAGAAUGUGUUGCUAAGCUUGUAGGAAAGGGUGCUUUAGCUGAAGGAGACAAGAUCACCUUAGAAACUGCAAAGCUGUUGAGAGAGAAUUCUCUCGCGCAAGAUGCAUUUACUCCGUAAGUUCCUCAUUUAAUCUUUUCUUUGAUCCAUAUCUACUUUUCAUUUUGGUUGGGACUAUUAGUCACUAAUGAUCAUUUACCUGUUGUAAGGGUGGACAGAUAUGAUAAAUUCUGCCCUUUCUACAGGUCUGUUUGGAUGAUGCAGAAUAUCAUCCAUUUCUUUAAUUUAGCAAAUCAGGUGAACUAUUCUGUUCAAAUCCUUUCUUAUAUGACCUACCAUUAUGUUUGAAGAAUUCAUGUCUAUUUAGGCUGAAGCAUUUUAGGGCAAGGAAAACAGAUAAUAUUGUCUUUCCCGGUCUUCUUUCUGGGAACCAAUCCCAGAAAGGUGCAACUUCAUUAGAUGUGACCCAAAGGAUUUCCUUGCCAUAAUACCGAAAAGGUGGCUGUUGUGACACAAUUUAUCAUUCUGAAGACCGAGUGCGGAUGAAAUCCAAGUCUGAACAUUAUAGCCUCCAAGAAACACCACUCAACCCUAUCAUAAGCCUUGGCCAUGUCAACUUUAUUAGAUGUUUAAUUAGAUAAGUGAAGGUAUCAAUGUCUACAGGCUGUAGAGAGAGCAGCUGAUAUGGAUGAUCAAAAGAUCAAUUAUAGUAUAAUUGAGCACCGUAUGGGGGAUCUCUUUUACCGUCUAAUGUCAAAAAAUUUGAGGAACCUGCUGAAGGCAAACAAGCUCUUGUGGCAAAAUUUAAGCAGCUACACGAUUACUUGACUAUUUGAGGAUGUAACUCGAUGAUUGGACUUGGACAUUUUCUAGAUGGUUCUAGUUGCUGUUAUAAAUUGCAUGGUGAUGCCAAUUGGAGUUACUGUGGUUUUUGUUGUGCAUGAAAAAAG